rnacentral:ribozyme from 1 species
UAUUCCCAUGCGCAGAUCCGCAUCAACUUUUCCGACGGGACGAACCUCCACGCCAAAUUUCUACCCAGAGAAAAGGUGUCUUCGAUCCGAUCGGUCAUCCAAUCUGCAUUCCGACCAUCCCUUACGCAGUCUCUUCGUUUUGAUUUAUAUGUGG